rnacentral:lncRNA from 1 species
CCCGAGAGCACUUCAGCUCCAUGUCUCCAAAUCGACAUCUUCGCAUCACUUGGGAUCAAUGUCCGUGGGCCCACCAGGAUCCUGAAGCUACACCUCACACUGCUUCCAACGGGGAUGCUCUUCCACCAAAAGGAAAUAAAACCGUUAGCCUCUCACCAGCCGAACGUCCACCAGCAAGAACACGUUCAGGACAGUCAGUACAUUUUAAUUUAUUAUUUUCCAAAACUUUUGGAGACUGGCACUGUUUAUUCCCACGGCUCAGCCUGGCUGUUGAACACGGGCGCAGUUCCAGCCCCGCUGUGAGCACCCCGCUGCCGGGAGCAGGAGAUGGGCAGUAACAGCUACCAAAGCUCCCUCCCACUGAAAGUCUUUUCCUUUCCUGAAUUGCACGGAAGUUUCAAACACUUCUCCCAAUUACUUCUCACCCCUUUUUGCUCACCUCCUCCUAUGGCUGCAAAGAGGGGAAAUGCAAAGGCAGCAAGCAACGCGUCUGUUGCAACCAAAAAUGAUUUUGCUAUUUCAACGCUGGGAAAUCUGCAAGUCAAAGGUGAGGGAAUGACUGCAUGGAGCUGCUCUAUGAAAAAAUCACAAUCUGGCAGCCUGCAGCAGCCCGCGAUUGCUGGCAGAGUGGGAUUGCCAAUCAUUUUUAUACCUCUGCACUUUAAAUAGCAAUAAUGUGUUGAAUGUGAAAUUGCCUGUGCUGAUGUGGUUUGCUUCACGCUAUUAAAAUACAAGCGUCGGGACACACAUUACACAUUUGUGAUUCCUCUGAGACAUUGUUGGGGGGGAAAAUACAAACUCCAGGAGAAAAUUGAGGGGGAAUUAAGA